GACGAACGCUGGCGGCGUGCUUAACACAUGCAAGUCGAACAGUGGCGAACGGGUGAGUAACACGUGAGUAACCUGCCCUCCCCUUUGGGAUAACUCCGAUAAAUCGGGGCUAAUACUGUAUAGUGGGGGAUGGGCUCGCGGCCUAUCAGUUUGUUGGUGAGGUAGUGGUCACCAAGCCGUGACUGGUAGCCGGCCUGAGAGGGGGACCGGCCACACUGGGACUGAGACACGGCCCAGACGCCUACGUGAGGCAGCAGUGGGGAAUAUUGCACAAUGGGGGAAAGCCUGAUGCAGCGACGCUGCGGUGGGGAUGACGGCCUUCGGGGUGUAAACCUCUUUCAGCAAGGAAGCGGUACUUGCAGAAGAAGCGCCGGCUAACUACGUGCCAGCAGCCGCGGUAAUAC
rnacentral:rRNA from 1 species